AAAAGUUCUGGCUGAGAGUUUUGCCCCAAAUAAAAAAUAACAGCUGAUCAACGAAUUGACUGAGACACUAUAUUGAAGAACACAUUUUCCCUAGAUUUCGAAGAGAGAAAGAACGGAAGAAGCAAUAAUCGAUGUAAUCAAAUCUCAACAAAUAUCUUCGAGGUCGAUUGGGAAGGUCAUAGUUCACUCACUUGUGCUUUUGAGCAUCGUAGACCACUAUAAUAGAGUCGCAAAAGACAGAAGAAUGUUGUUGCGAUUUUGCUUUGAACUUCAUUUAAAGGUCUUUGAAGCAGCUAUUGCAGCCAGGGCGAAAGAAGUAGCAGUCUUUGCAUCAACUUCGGAGUCUUUCACAAAGUCAAAAAUUAAUUGCACCAAUAAGGAGAGCCUUGUUAGAUAUCAAGUUGUUACAUCUGCUGCCAAGAAGCUUGAAAUACCUAUUCGCAAAUAUGUAUCCUGUGCUAUUGGGUGCCCAGUUAAAGGAGUGAUUUCACCUUCAAAAGUGGCAUAUGUAGCAAAGGAGCUUCAUGACAUGAAUCAAAGGCUCUUACUAUUGAUGAUUUAUGCCUUUUCCUUCAGGGCUUCUGUUGGCUUUCUUACAAAAUAUCUCUUUGAGAUCUAUCAAAAGUAAGACUCAAAAGAUGCUAAACAAUGUUCAGAUAACUUAUCUUAACGUUUUAUAUGGUUGCUUUUACUGCUAUCUUUUCAUAUCAUAUUUUUAGGAAACUGAUUUUUGUAGUCUUUAAUUGUGUUCAAAGAAAGGUAUUUUGCUGAUUAGUAUGUUUACUUGUGGAUCUGAUAGCUAGGUUAAAACAAGCAUAUAUCAUGGAGUACAAGGAUGCUUGGGUCGAGAACGUAUUAUGUUAUUCAGCUUCUAGAGCAAGAGUUUGAACUGAAAUGAUUAUCCUUGACUUGAGAAAAAUACUAUAUCGAGUUGCCUCAAAAUCAGAGUGACUUUAUUUUUCUUUCAGGGGAACUUGACAUGCUAGCCUUGCUAACAAUUUAAUGCUUAUUGACAUAUUGUGAAGGAGGAGAUGUGAAAAUGAGCACAAGGAAAUCUAGAGGAGCUCUGUUACCAGAAGAGAAACUCAGCAUAUGACUGAUCAACUAUUACUCGCAGUAGAAUAUUUGCACUUUAACCGUGUUCUACACAGAGACGUGAAGGUAUAAACAGGCAGUGAUUUAUUAUUGAGUUAUCCUUGUAUGACAUGUUUUAAUAUGAAGUACUUUGAUUUAUUAAUGAGCUUUCCUUGUAUGAAGAUGAUAAUGUGAAAUGAGCCUAAAUGAAGAAGUGGGGGUUCAUAUAGUCGACGGUAACUUGUUCAGCGUAGUAGUUGCUAUUGUUUUUUUGUUUAAGAAAGUAUUAGUAAGCUCUGUCUCGUUCCCUCUUAUGUUGCACUGUCACAAAAUUUUAAUCCAGCAGACACAACUGUAAGUGGCUAUGUCUUCAGUCGUAACUGCUUACUGAUAUUUGAUUUUUCAAUUCAUCUAGGUUACAGUGAGUUUAUCAAACAUACACCCCAUAGAUGAAAAUGCUCAUGCUGUUGGAUUUGAUGACAUUACCAAAUUAACAUAUUUGCAUGAGCCUGGCAUCUUGCUGAAUUUGGCUUCAAGAUAUCAAAUCAACGAAAUCUAUGUAGGUUUAUGGUCAUAUUUCUGUAGAUAAGUGAGAGGAAGAAAUGAAUGAUUGUAUCUAUGUGCGGUUCAAUCAUAAUGUGACAUUAUGACACACUUAUACUAAAAGUAUUAUCAUUGCCAUCAAUCCAUUCCAAAAGUUUCCUCGUCAAUAUGAUCGCAACAUGAUGGAACAAUUCAAGGGGGAGCACCGCUUGGCGAAUUAAUAUCUCAUGUUUUCUCUAUUGCUGAUGCUGCUUACAGUCAAAUCCAGUACUUGAAGCAUUUGGGAAUGCCAAAACAUUUAGAAAUAACAAAUCAAGCCAUUUUGGUAAAUUUAUGGAAAUUUCUUUUGCCAAAAAUUGAAGAAUGUCUGGUGCAGCUACUAGAACUUACCUCUUAGAAAGGUCUCGAGUUUGCCAAGUUUCAGAUCCGGAAUGCAACUAUCAUUGUUUCUCCCUUCUAUGUGCAGCACCCAAGGAGUUUUUUAAUCUUAGAAGGAGGUUUAAAAGUAUAGAGCGAGUUUCUUUGAACUAGUAGGUAUUAGUAUUGCUCAAGAUUAUCUGGAAACAAUGAGGGCCAUGGAUGUUGUUGGCUUUAGUGAGAAAGAGCAGUUCACAGGGGGCAAAGAAACUGAUUCAUCAAUGCUAAGAGAUGACAAGUCUAAAUUACAUCUUCAGAAUAUUGCAGAGCUUUCGAUGUGUGAUCUUAAGGAUUUUGAAGAUGCACUAUCAAAAUGUGUAAUGGUCACAACUGAAGAAGUAAUAAACAGAAUCUUGAUCAUGAUGCUUCAACAUAUGUAUAAAUGGGCUUUCUAAAACAUUAUAUUCUUGCUUGUUUGACUGAUUUUAACAAUGCUCCAUUAAUUACACAAAUGAGAAGCUGCAACAACACUUUAACCAGACCAAAGAUUGUGGGAAGAAAUCAACCUCCUCGAAAGAAGACUAGGGAUACUCAUUAAUUAGGAGGCUGCAACUUCCCGAGCCACCAUAUCAAAACAUCUUCCGAAGCAGGAAAGGGCAAUGUCCAGUAGCACAAAGUGUCAGCACCUGCAAGGGAAUUGAAAGCCUUGAUAUGCCAUGGAUGAUGGAUAGGUUUCUAAGGGUGAUGAUGAAGUAUUGGGAGUCCUGAGAGAUUCGAGGACAAGACCCACAUGUUCCUUUUAUGUCAUUAUUUUUUCUUUUAAGUCUUGUAUGGGCUUAGACCCAAGUGUUGUACAUUCAAAGUAUUAGAUGGUUAAAUGAGACAUUGUAAAGAUAGAUGGUUAAAGUCUUCCACUUGCGUAUUAAUGAAAGUAUUCUUUGUGUGUGAAAAAAGUUUUAAAUUCUUUCUUA